UGUUGGUCCUGCCAAUCGAUGAGCAU
rnacentral:misc_RNA from 1 species